CAACUUGCCUUUCAGAGGGGGAUAACACAUCGAAAGGUGUGCUAAUACCGCAUGAAAUGACGGGAUCGCAUGAUCCUGUUAUCAAAGGAGCAAUCCGCUGAAAGAUGGGCUCAUGUCUGAUUAGAUAGUUGGUGAGGUAACGGCUCACCAAGUCGACGAUCAGUAGCCGGACUGAGAGGUUGAACGGCCACAUUGGAACUGAGAGACGGUCCAGACUCCUACGGGAGGCAGCAG
rnacentral:rRNA from 1 species